AUUGAACGCUGGCGGCAGGCUUAACACAUGCAAGUCGAACGAGUGGCGGACGGGAUGGUAAUGCUUGGGAAUCUAGCUGAUGGAGGGGGAUAACUACGGGAAACUGUAGCCACUACCGCGUACCAUAGGAUGAGCCCAAGGGGGAUUAGGUAGUUGGUGAGGUAAAGGCGCACCAAGCCGACGAGCUCUAGCUGGGCUGCGAGGAUGACCAGCCACACUGGGACUGAGACACGGUCCAGACUCCUACGGGAGGCAGCAGUGGGGAAUAUUGCGCAAUGGGGGCAACCUGACGCAGCCAUGCCGCGUGAAUGAAGAAGGCCUUCGGGUUGUAAAGUUCUUUCGGUAGCGAGGCGUUAACUACAGAAGAAGCACCGGCUAACUCCGUGCCAGCCGCCGCGGUAAUUC
rnacentral:rRNA from 1 species